ACGAUCGGAAAUGUGUGUCCAAGCAGCAAGUCUGAGAACGAGUGAAAUGCUUUUUCUCUCAAGGACAAGCUGUGAUGGGGAGCGAAAUUUAGUAGCGAAGUUCCUGAUGUCACACUGCCAAGAAAAGCUACUAGUGAGAAAGUAACUGCCCGUACCGCAAACCGACACAGGUAGUUGAGGAGAGAAUCCUAAGGUGUGCGAGAGAACUCUCGUUAAGGAACUCGGCAAAAUGACCCCGUAACUUCGGGAGAAGGGGUGCUGACCGCAAGGUCAGCCGCAGUGAAUAGGCCCAAGCGACUGUUUAUCAAAAACACAGGUCUCUGCAAAAUCGAAAGAUGACGUAUAGGGGCUGACGCCUGCCCGGUGCUGGAAGGUUAAGAGGAGAGGUUAGCGCAAGCGAAGCUUUGAAUUGAAGCCCCAGUAAACGGCGGCCGUAACGAUAACGGUCCUAAGGUAGCGAAAUUCCUUGUCGGGUAAGUUCCGACCCGCACGAAAGGCGUAACGAUUUGGGCACUGUCUCAACGAGAGACUCGGUGAAAUUAUAGUACCAGUGAAGAUGCUGGUUACCCGCGACAGGACGGAAAGACCCCAUGGAGCUUUACUGCAGUUUGAUAUUGCGUGUUUGUAUCACAUGUACAGGAUAGGUAGGAGCCGAAGAUACCGGGACGCCAGUCUCGGAGGAGGCAACGGUGGGAUACUACCCUUGUGAUAUGACCACUCUAACCCGCUGCUCUUAGCGAGCAGGGAGACAGUGUCAGACGGGCAGUUUGACUGGGGCGGUCGCCUCCAAAAAUGUAACGGAGGCGCCCAAAGGUUCCCUCAGAAUGGUUGGAAAUCAUUCGUAGAGUGUAAAGGCAGAAGGGAGCUUGACUGCGAGACCUACAAGUCGAGCAGGGACGAAAGUCGGGCUUAGUGAUCCGGUGGUUCCGCAUGGAAGGGCCAUCGCUCAACGGAUAAAAGCUACCCUGGGGAUAACAGGCUUAUCUCCCCCAAGAGUUCACAUCGACGGGGAGGUUUGGCACCUCGAUGUCGGCUCAUCGCAUCCUGGGGCUGUAGUCGGUCCCAAGGGUUGGGCUGUUCGCCCAUUAAAGCGGUACGCGAGCUGGGUUCAGAACGUCGUGAGACAGUUCGGUCCCUAUCCGUCGCGGGCGUUGGAAAUUUGAGAGGAGCUGUCCUUAGUACGAGAGGACCGGAAUGGACACACCGCUGGUGUACCAGUUGUUCUGCCAAGAGCAUCGCUGGGUAGCUAUGUGUGGACGGGAUAAACGCUGAAAGCAUCUAAGCGUGAAGCCCCCCUCAAGAUGAGAUUUCCCAUCACUUUAAGUGAGUAAGACCCCUGAGAGAUGAUCAGGUAGAUAGGUUGGGAGUGGAAGUACAGCGAUGUAUGGAGCGGACCAAUACUAAUCGGUCGAGGACUUAACC
rnacentral:rRNA from 1 species